AGCGAACGCUGGCGGCAGGCCUAACACAUGCAAGUCGAACGAACCUUUCGGGGUUAGUGGCGGACGGGUGAGUAACACGUGGGAACGUGCCUUAGGUUCGGGAUAACUCAGGGGAACUUGUGCUUAUAACCAAUGUGCCCCUCGGGGGGAAGAUUUAUCGCCUUUAGAGCGGCCCGCGUCUGAUUAGCUAGUUGGUUGAGGUAAUGGCUCACCAAGGCGACGAUCAGUAGCUGGUCUGAGAGGAUGAUCAGCCACAUUGGGACUGAGACACGGCCCAAACUCCUACGGGAGGCAGCAGUGGGGAAUCUUGCGCAAUGGGCGAAAGCCUGACGCAGCCAUGCCGCGUGAAUGAUGAAGGUCUUAGGAUUGUAAAAUUCUUUCACCGGGGACGAUAAUGACGGUACCCGGAGAAGAAGCCCCGGCUAACUUCGUG
rnacentral:rRNA from 1 species